UACGGAGGGGGCUAGCGUUGUUCGGAAUUACUGGGCGUAAAGCGCACGUAAGCGGCUUUGUAAGUUAGAGGUGAAAGCCCGGGGCUCAACUCCGGAAUUGCCUUUAAGACUGCAUCGCUAGAAUUGUGGAGAGGUAAGUGGAAUUCCGAGUGUAGAGGUGAAAUUCGUAGAUAUUCGGAAGAACACCAGUGGCGAAGGCGGCUCACUGGCUCAUACUGGACGCUGAGGUGCGAAAGCGUGGGGAGCAAACAGG
rnacentral:rRNA from 1 species